UCUGCAAUCAGUUGAUGCCAACCCUUUAUGGCGUGCUGGGGAGGGAAUUGGGUUAUAUUAAAACAAACAUAGAUCUAUUUGCAAUGGAAUGCAAAACUCACAAGCUUCCUUAAGAAAGCAAAGCAGAUCCGAAGGAGUUGAGUGUGCCUCGGGCCACUCCUCUCCCUGCUCCCACCCAUUCCUCUCGCAGGGAGACCCUGGCAGGGCCGGGGUUGAGAAGCGCUGGCGUGGACGGAGAGCACCGGCUGGAAAAGACAGGUGUGCGCGCUUGCAUUCUUCCCGCAAACAGCUACAGUCUUAACUGGCAGCUCCUGCCUCCUUGAGCUGGGGCUCUGGGCCAGGCUCUCGGCCAAGCGCUGGGGACGCCACUGAGAACCAGGGCGGCCAGUGAAAGCAGACUGCGGUGCGAACCCAGCCUCCAUCCACCACUUACCCGCUGAGCGACCUGAGACUGCCCUCUCUCUUCUGUCAAAUUAGGGGGACUUUCUCCAGCAGGUGAAACCGAGAAAGGCUUUUAAGGCUCAGAAGAAAUCCUGCCCGUAGUUACAAAGCCUGUUACUUAACUUCCCGUGGCAAUUAAUCACACCCUUGGCCUUUUGAGAAAAUUCUCCAGGAGAGCAGUCUCCCCAGCACCUGUCACGGGGUCUGGCACAACAUGGUAGGGACACAAUAAAUAAAUACUUCCUUCAGUCU
rnacentral:lncRNA from 1 species